rnacentral:sRNA from 1 species
AGCAGCCGCGGUAAUUCCAGCUCCAAUAGCGUAUAUUAAAGUUGUUGUGGUUAAAAAGCUCGUAGUUGAACCUUGGGCCUGGCUGGCCGGUCCGCCUCACCGCGUGUACUGGUCCGGCCGGGCCUUUCCCUCUGUGGAACCCCAUGCCCUUCACUGGGUGUGGCGGGGAAACAGGACUUUUACUGUGAAAAAUUAGAGUGCUCCAGGCAGGCCUAUGCUCGAAUACAUUAGCAUGGAAUAAUAGAAUAGGACGUGUGGUUCUAUUUUGUUGGUUUCUAGGACCGCCGUAAUGAUUAAUAGGGACAGUCGGGGGCAUCAGUAUUCAAUUGUCAGAGGUGAAAUUCUUGGAUUUAUUGAAGACUAACUACUGCGAAAGCAUUUGCCAAGGAUGUUUUCAUUAAUCAGGAACGAAAGUUAGGGGAUCGAAGACGAUCAGAUACCGUCGUAGUCUUAACCAUAAACUAUGCCGACUAGGGAUCGGACGGUGUUAUUUU